rnacentral:rRNA from 1 species
GACGAACGCUGGCGGCGUGCUUAACACAUGCAAGUCGAACGGAAAGGCCCUGCUUUUGUGGGGUGCUCGAGUGGCGAACGGGUGAGUAACACGUGAGUAACCUGCCCUUGACUUUGGGAUAACUUCAGGAAACUGGGGCUAAUACCGGAUAGGAGCUCCUGCUGCAUGGUGGGGGUUGGAAAGUUUCGGCGGUUGGGGAUGGACUCGCGGCUUAUCAGCUUGUUGGUGGGGUAGUGGCUUACCAAGGCUUUGACGGGUAGCCGGCCUGAGAGGGUGACCGGCCACAUUGGGAGUGAGAUACGGCCCAGACGCCUACGGGAGGCAGGAGGGGGGAAUAUUGCACAAUGGGCGGAAGCAUGAUGCAGCAACGCCGGGUGCGGGAUGACGGCCUUCGGGUUGUAAACCGCUUUCGCCUGUGACGAAGCGUGAGUGACGGUAAUGGGGAAAGAAGCACCGGCUAACUACGU